rnacentral:misc_RNA from 1 species
GCUUCAUACCGCCCAGGAAUACUGCUUCACAUAACCAUAUAGAUAGAUUUUAAGCUUGAAAACAUAUGACAAAAUGCACAAAUGCAAAGUGCUUUGAUGACUGUUUAUAUAGAAUUACCUUAUGCAUGCAUAGAAUGCGUGGCUUGGCAUGUAACACACUAACACAAUACAGAUACAGAUACUUAUGCUUGACGUCUUACCACCAAGUUCUACUCCAGAUGACAUUGUGUAAAGUAGGGCUGC